UACGGGGGGGGCAAGCGUUGUUCGGAAUUACUGGGCGUAAAGGGCUCGUAGGCGGCCAACUAAGUCAGACGUGAAAUCCCUCGGCUUAACCGGGGAACUGCGUCUGAUACUGGAUGGCUAGAGGUUGGGAGAGGGAUGCGGAAUUCCUGGUGUAGCGGUGAAAUGCGCAGAUAUCAGGAAGAACACCCGUGGCGAAGGCGGUUCUCUGGGACGGUACUGACGCUGAGGCACGAAAGCGUGGGGAGCAAACAGG
rnacentral:rRNA from 1 species